AUUACGUGCGGACAACUGUGGCUGGAAGGAGAUGUUCUUCCUUCUGACAAAUCAUCAGAAGGUCACUAGUAGCCUAACUUUACGUCACAACGCCUACGUCAUUCCCCUCACUUCAUCUCAUCACUUAGGCGUUUGAUCAUCUCAAAUUUCAGAAGAAGAAUAAGGGGCAGAGAUAUCUCCUCUCUCUCUAACAAGAAGUGGGCACAAGGUGUUACAGGAGCCACGAAGGGGCUCCCACCCAAGGCUGUGGAGAGUGGAGGAGGCAGGUCAAACUUCCUGGAGCUACUGAUGUUGAGCUGAGGUUUGAAGCAGGAGUACCAACUGCCAGAGGAAGAAUGUGAGAUAGGAGCAGAGGACAUGCAGAAAAGCUUUUGCAACCUCUCUUCUAUGGCAUGGCUCUUCAUCUGAGCCCAGAAGGACUGGGAGGAGCCAAAGUCUUUAGGCCCAGUUGGGCCAAACUUGGGAGCUACAGCCACUUUGGAUCCUGUCAAAAAACCAAAAAGAGCCCAGUGUCUGGAGUUCUUCACUGAGCAAGUUGAGAGGGGAUACCAGGUAGGAACAAGCAAAUGUAGAUGCUUCAUACAUCAAACUCAAUACAUAUAUAAACUUAUUGAAAGUGAGCUCUAGAAAGAUUUCCAAGAUUUUCUAGUUUAUUUUAGAGAUGAGGAAAACAGUAAGGCCUCAGAGAUAUCCCCUAGAGGUAAAGUCAUGUCCCAAGUCACGUCCCAUGUACACAGCUGGUUAGUGGCUGGGACUAGACUGGAACCCAUUUGUUUUCACUUCCCACUUGAAUGCUCUUUCCUGUACUAUGGUCUGUACUUUGAUGCUUUGGGGAUCAGAGUCUAUUCCUUCAAACUACUCAGUGGCCAAUGUCCCUUCCUGCAAAGUUUGCCACAGGUCUAAAUAUGGGGGCAUCCAGAGUCCACUGAAGCAUGUGUGGCCUUAGGUUAGGAAGUUCCCAUUUCUGAUAUUAGGCCAUCUAUCAAUAAAACCAGGAAAUCUCUAGAAACAGUGUCUUCCGAUUGACUGGAACUUCUGGGUGGGCAUAGGGGCAUAGAGGAGCUUCUGCCAUUCAAAGGUUGUUGUCUGACUUCAGAUUUCAGAGACCUUUCAAGUGACAGCGUCUCAAACGUGACCACGUAUCUAAUUAAAAACAUGGAUUUUCUGUUGUGAGUUGAAGCCAAAAUAUAGCUUUAAAAUUUGUUUGGCCAAGUACAUUUAAUAAUACCUAAAUGCUCUCGUGUGUUAAGUAUUCAUCCAUUCCCUCCAUAACUGCUUACGAUAAAUAUUGAUGAUUGUCUAACUUUGAAAAUGGCUAUGUACAUAGGAGAAUAUUCAUGUGUGUCUCAUUGAUUUUCCUGACAGGGCCAAAUGGAGCAGGUAAGCCAAUUUAACACAACCAAUUUCCAAUUUUGCACAGACUGAAUAGGAGAAGUGCCGUGGAAA